GACGAGAGGGGCAAGCGUUAUUCGGAAUGAUUGGGCGUAAAGCGCACGUAGACUGUUUAGAAAAUUUGAGAGAAAAACCUCAAAGCUUGACUUUGAAACUUCUCUUUUUGAAUUCCUAAACUUGAGUGAGUAAGAGGAGAAUGGAAUUCCUGGCGUAGAGGUAAAAUUUGUUGAUAUCAGGAGGAACACCAAAAGCGAAGGCAAUUCUCUGGGACUCAACUGACGUUGAGGUGCGACAGCGUGGGGAUCAAAAGGG
rnacentral:rRNA from 1 species